GGCGGCGUAGCCAAGCGGUAAGGCAGAGGUCUGCAAAACCUUUAUACGGCGGUUCAAUCCCGCCCGCCGCCU
rnacentral:tRNA from 1 species